rnacentral:rRNA from 1 species
UAGAUACCCCACUAUGCUUUGCCCUAAACAUCGAUAGCCUUAUACAACCACUAUCCGCCCGGGGACUACGAGCAGCAGCUUAAAACCCAAAGGACUUGGCGGUGCUUUAGACCCACCUAGAGGAGCCUGUUCUAAAACCGAUAACCCCCGUUCAACCUCACCUUUCCUUGUUCUCCCCGCCUAUAUACCGCCGUCGUCAGCUUACCCUAUGAAGGUCCCUUAGUAAGCACAAUUGGCACAACCCAAAACGUCAGGUCGAGGUGUAGCGUAUGGAAAGGGAAGAAAUGGGCUACAUUCCCUGCCACAGUGAAUUACGGAUAAUAUUACUGAAACGUAUAUCUAGAAGGAGGAUUUAGCAGUAAGUAGAAAAUAGAGCGUUCUACUGAAGCCGGCCCUGAAGCGCGCACACACCGCCCGUCA